GCCCCAACAGCCAAGCAAGCAAAGGACACGCCUAGCGGACACACGGAACCUGGCUGCACUCAGGCAAGCACUCGCCCGACAAGCAUGCUGAGGUUGGCCCCUGCCGUCAGACUGCUGCAAGCCCCCCUGAGGGGCUGGGUGGCUCCCAGGGCACACAUCUCUGCCAAGCCAGCCAGAACACCCACUUCUCCUGCAGAGCAGGCCAUCGGGCUCUCUGUGAUGUUCCUCAGCUUCCUGAUCCCUGCAGGCUGGGUCUUAUACCACCUGGAGAAUUACAAGCGCAGCUCUGCAGAAUGAAGGCUCCAGCACAGGAUAAAGGAUCAUAUUAAACCAUUCCCUCUUCCUAACAUCCACAUGGUGAUGGCUUCUUGUGUAUGUGAACCUAUUUGUAUCUUCAGCCUAUCUACUACCUGGAGUAAAAUGUUCCUUAUCUCCUGCCUGUUAUGGGAAGCAGCACCACCUUACUGGUUGCAGAGUCAUCACGUUUAACCCCUCCUAGACGAAUCAACCUAUUUUCUGUUCCCAUACAGCAAUUUCCUUAUUCUCUUGAUCACAUUAUUUGCUUUUUCCAAUAUAUUUUUCUUGAGAUGAAGCAAUUAAAACUGCAUUAACAUUUUUA